CUACGGGUGGCUGCAGUGAGGAAUAUUGCGCAAUGGGGGAAACCCUGACGCAGCAACGCCGCGUGGAGGAUGACGCAUUUCGGUGUGUAAACUCCUUUUAUAUGUCAAGAAAAUGACGGUAGCAUAUGAAUAAGCACCGGCUAACUCCGUGCCAGCAGCCGCGGUAAUACGGAGGGUGCAAGCGUUACUCGGAAUCACUGGGCGUAAAGGACGCGUAGGCGGGUUGGAAAGUCAGGUGUGAAAUCCUACAGCUUAACUGUAGAACUGCACUUGAAACUUCUAAUCUAGAGUAUGGGAGGGGGAGAUGGAAUUAGUGGUGUAGGGGUAAAAUCCGUAGAUAUCACUAGGAAUACCUAAAGCGAAGGCGAUCUCCUGGAACAUUACUGACGCUAAGGCGUGAAAGCGUGGGGAGCAAACAGGAUUAGAUACCCUCGUAGUC
rnacentral:rRNA from 1 species